UACGAGGGGUGCGAGCGUUAUUCGGAAUUAUUGGGCGUAAAGGGUGCGUAGGCGGCAUGUUAAGUCAGUUGUUAAAUUUCCCGGCCUAACCGGGAGUAUGCAGCAGAUACUGAUGUGCUAGAGGAUGGAAGAGAGAAGUGGAAUUCUCGGAGUAGCGGUAAAAUGCGUAGAUCUCGAGAGGAACACCGAUGGCGAAGGCAGCUUCUUGGUCCAUAUCUGACGCUGAGUGCACGAAAGCGUGGGGAGCAAACAGG
rnacentral:rRNA from 1 species